AUGAUCCCACAGGUGCACCUGCCCUUGUCACAGAGGGGACAGGCACGCGGACCAGGGACGGCGGGACAGACAGCCCUGUGGCCUCUCGCUGCUGUACGGCCCCGGGCCACCUGCGUCCGGAUCACAUGUCAGAACUUUAUAAAGACACAGCGAUCAGUUGACUGGAAAGGAACCGUGCAUGGUUUGCAAAGCGGUCCGCCUCACUAUGUGUCUUUGACUCUGUCCUCAGGGAUCGGGAUGUGCUUCACCAGGAGUGGCUGCCCCAAGUUCAUCUACAGCCCCUUCUUAUCAGCCCGGUGCAUCCUCUGGUGGCCCACACGGGCCAGACUGUCCCCCAGUGGGUCCUGCGUACCCAUCGCGUGCCAGGCACGGCUAGCAAGGGUCGGAGUGCAUGUGGGGGACUGGGCACAAACACAGUGGGGAGCAGUGUCCCUGGGACACAGCUUGGGAGGGGCCGGCCUGGGAGGAGGGUGGAAGGAGGUGGGGCUGUGGACAGAACGUGAGACACAUAGGGUAUCCGUAUACUGUCGCACGCACGCUGACUGAACAAGUGGCGUCUGUCUGGCCCUGUAUUUGGUGUCGGGAGGCCCAGAAGAAGCGGGAGCACCCCCGUGGCUCAGAGCCUGCAGGGGAAGAAGCAGACACACAGGAGCACUGGUGGCCCAAGACUUCAGUUAGCCGAGCACAGCCCGGGCGCCGGAAGGAGCUGUCCUUAAACCAGCAGUGUGUCCUCUGCGUCUGUUCCACAUCAGACCCUGGCGUUGCCCUAGCAAGCUCCCUGCAGCGACGUCGGCCACCCCCAGGCUUCUCCCGGUCCUUGCCGGUGGCACCGGCUCUGAUCCCCCUGGUUGACUACUCUCCCAUCACACCACGUUGUCCCCUGACCACUGACAUAACCGUUAACAAACACUAGAACUCCUAGCUCUGGGCAGUGUGGGCAGGUCUGUGCCCACGGCCACAGUUAAUCUUCACUCCCAAGGGCCUCCCACGCUGGGGACCGAGAAUAAGCCUGCGUACGCGGAGAACACUGAGGCUUAGUGAAGUCCAGAACAUGUCAAGGUCACCCAGCUGGGAGGUAGCAGAGAUUGAGCCUGGGCGGUCUGGUUCCAAAGCCUGCUCUGUCCUCCCGCCCAGAGCAGUGACUGCCGACUUGCUGUCCGGAGCAGUGGCCGCGCUGUCCUCCCGCCCAGAGCAGUGGCCGCCAACUUGAGUUGAGGAACAUGCCCAAGAACCCCGUCCACAGGGAGGGGCAGGGACAGGCACUAGGGGACACAUGAAGAGACUGGCUGUAGGCACUUGGCUGGCGGGGUGUCAGGAUGGCCGGGAGUCAGCAGUCCCGAGGGCAGGCUGUGAGGCAGCUGUCAGGGCCCCCUGGCCUGAGGACAGCCUCUGACUCUGCAGAUGUGUCUCCCGUCUAUUCUGUCCCUGGAGAAAUCGGCAGACACGAUUGUCCCCGCUGCUCACUGUCCUCACUGACACUUGCUAUGGUCAGUCUGAUUUUCGCUGUCCUUGCAUGGGUGUGAUGGUAUCUCAUUGUGGUUUUAAUUUGGAUUUUCCUGAAAGUUACACAUGUUGAGCACCCUUUGUGGUUCUUCUUGGCCGUCAGUAAAUCUUCUGUGAAAUAUUCAUUUUUGAAUAGACUGUCUUUUUAUUGCUGAUGUGUAGGAAUUCAGUAUGUAUAUUGCACAUCUUAACUUCCAGGCUGCGGCUUUCCAUUUUCUUUUUUAUUAAAAUUGAUCCUAAUAUUUAUUUGUUUACUUAUUUUUUGGAGAGACACAGUACAAGUGGGGGAGGGGCAGAGAGAGAGGGUGACACACAUUCUGAAGCCGGCUCCAGGCUCUGAGCUGUCAGCACAGAGCCCGACGCGGGGCUAGAACUCACAGACCGUGACAUCAUGACCUGAAACGAAGCUGGACGCCCAACCGACUGAGCCACCCAGGCGCCCCAUCGCUUUUCCAUUUUCUUAAUGAUCAUGAGAUAAAUGUCACAUUUGUAUGAAGUCCCAUUGAAUCCUUUUAAAUGGUAAGUGCAUUUUGUGUUCUACCCUAAGAUGGAUAUUUUCUACAUUUUUCCCCAGAAACUUUAUAGUUUAAGGCUAUGAUCCAUCUCAAAUGUCUACAUUCCCCUUUUAAUUCUAACAGUUUAUUUGCACAUUACUUUGGAUUUUCUAUGGAAACAAUCAUAUUAUCUGUCAAUAAUCAAGUUUUUCCUCUCUUCGUACUUUUUGUUUUUCUUACCUUAUAACACUGGGUAGAUUCUCCAAUACAAUGUUGAAUAGAAUAGCAUGUUUGAAGAUUUCAAUACACCUUUCUU
ensembl:lncRNA